GUCCACGCCGUAAACGAUGAUUGCUAGACGUCGGGAACGACAGUUUUCGGUGUCGCAGCUAACGCAUUAAGCAAUCCGCCUGGGGAGUACGGUCGCAAGAUUAAAACUCAAAGGAAUUGACGGGGGCCCGCACAAGCGGUGGAGUAUGUGGUUUAAUUCGACGCAACGCGAAAACCUUACCAGCUCUUGACAUGUUGACUAUGGGGUCUAGAGAUAGACUUCUUCGGUUCGGCCGGGUCAAACACAGGUGCUGCAUGGCUGUCGU
rnacentral:rRNA from 1 species